AGCGAACGCUGGCGGCAGGCCUAACACAUGCAAGUCGAACGAAAUCUUCGGAGUUAGUGGCGGUUGGGUGUGUCACGUGUGGGACCGUGGAUUUUGGCUCGGAAUAAUACAGGGACACUUGUGCUAAUACAGAAUGAGUCACUCGGGUGCAAGAUUCAUCGUCAUUAGAGAGGCCCGCGUUUGUUUAGCUUGUUGGUGAGGUAACGGCGCACCAAGGCGACGAUCAGUAGCUGGUCUGAGAGGAUGAGCAGCCACACUGGGACUAGGACACGGCCCAGAAUCCUACGGGAUGCAGCAGUGGGUAAUCUUGCGCAAUGGGGGAAGUCCUGACGCAGCCAGGCCUGGUGAGUGAUGAAGUUCUGAGGGAAGAAAAAUACUUUCACCGGGGACUGUAAUGACGGUACCCGGAGAAUAAGCCCCGGCUAACUUCGUG
rnacentral:rRNA from 1 species